UACGUAGGGUGCGAGCGUUGUCCGGAAUUAUUGGGCGUAAAGAGCUCGUAGGCGGUGUGUCACGUCGUUCGUGAAAACCUGCAGCUUAACUGUGGGCGUGCGGUCGAUACGGGCAUCACUGGAGUUCGGCAGGGGAGACUGGAAUUCCUGGUGUAGCGGUGAAAUGCGUAGAGAUCAUGAGGAAGACCAGUGGCGAAGGCGGGUCUCUGGACAGUUCCUGACACUGAGACACGAAGGCCAGGGGAGCAAACGGG
rnacentral:rRNA from 1 species